rnacentral:lncRNA from 10 species
ACAUUAAAUACCCAGCUCCUCUGCGCGAUUACAGCAGCCUCCGGAGCUCUCCCAAAUUGUCACCUAGGAUGAAUAUGACAGCAAACAAUGCUUUAAAAUGACUUUGAGUUUUAUGCAAUUUCUUGUAUAAAAGGAGAGCCUGAGUCCAUGGAAGUUGGGAUUGAACAUCCUGAAUAUGCAGUUCCUUGGAGAGCCACCAAGAAAAGACCUAAGCAAGAGACAUGAUGUCACCUUCGGGGAGGAGGCUCUUCAAGCUGUUUGGCAUGAGAAGAGGAGGAAUGAGGAGGAUCACUGGCCUUGAACCCCCAAAGAGAGGCUAGAGCACCUUUCUAGGACCCAGUCCAGGGUUUGUCUUGAACAUCCAGCUCCAAAAGAGAUGCUGUGCAGAUUCAAGCUGCCAAGUCCUGAAGGACCUGAGGGAAAACCCAACCCCAAGCAGCCCAGAUGGUAUCUGAGUAUCCUGUGCCCUACCCACGAAGAUCAGGAGCCUAAAGGCUAGAGCUCACUGCAGAACCAGACCAAAGACAGUUUAAGGGCCAUUGAGCCAAGCCUUCCUGACCUCCCAUGGAGAGGGGAAGAGAGAACAGGACCUCCACUUAUCCACCUACCCGCUGCUGAGUCCCUUUAGCCCUUGGCAUGGUAAUUAACGGUCAGGAAGUUAUGCAUCAGCCUCAGCAAGCUAACAUGGCAGGAGAUCCCUCCUGACAGCAGAGCUAAUAAGAAAUUUGCUAAUGCAAUUUAUCACUUUAAAAAGCCAUAUGUCGGUGGGGAUGAGCACUUCUCUGCAGCAGCUAGUGUAAUUGUCAGAACAGAGCAGCGAGCAGCUCUGAGAAGGGGGUGAGGAUGAUGUCUUCACUAAAUCAGUGGUGCAAUGCAGCAGGCGAGGGGGCUGGGAGGAGGGGUGUGGUGCUGGGUGGAGGGCUCCCAGCUCUCAAACUCCCAGGAAGCCAGUGCUGCAGACCUGUUCUGGGGCCCCAUUAAAAACCAGAUUCCCUGAACUCCAGCCCCUGCUGCCUUUGAGCUGCAUGAACCUGCGCUUUGGUUCCUGCCACAGUGUUAAAAAAGAAGCGACUCUGUCUGCAGUAAUGGCUGAUCUAAGUCUCAGCCAUUGAGUGUCAACACACAGGACCCCACUCCAGCUCCUCCUGGGGGCAGGGCUGAUGCCAUGUGCACAUUUGGUCUUUCUCUCCCAGACCCCUGCGAUAACUUCAUCCAGGACAAGGGCCACUGGUCCUUAGUCAGAGGCAGGGAAAGAUUAGAAAUCCACCUCAGGCCCAACAACAUCUCUGCUUUCAGUUUAGACAAAAGGCAAAUUGCUUUGAGUACCCAGUGUUUGCCAAAAUAAAGAGUGGUUUCUGCAAAGGGGAAAAACUGCUGUUGUGGGAUUUUGCUUCAAACACUCAAUUGCAAACCAUUUUUCCCAAAGCAAAUUGAUAGAGAAGCAAGUAAAACAGGUGCCCCUUCUGGGAAUGAAGUCCAGGGCUGCUGGGAAGGCUGUGGGAAGGAAUAAGAAUAUCCACACGGCUGGAUCUCCACUGCUUUCUGGAAUAGUCCCCACUCUCAGUUAUCUGUGGAAUGAGAGGGGCUGGGGAGAGGGAUGAGGUAGGGCAAGCCACCACCACCAACACCCAGAGAAACAUCACACUCAGUUUCCACCAACUAAACUUCCCUCUAAAGCAAAUUUUGACCCUAAUUGUUCUCUGUCCUUUAAAUUAAUGCUUUUUUUUUUUAAGACGGAGUUUCACUCCUGUUGCCCAAGCUAGAGUGCAGUGGCAUGAUCUCGGCUCACUGCAACCUCUGCCUCCUGGGUUCAAGUGAUUCUCCUGCUUUAGCCUCCCAAGUAGCUGGGAUUACAGGUGCCCACCACCACACCCAGCUAAUUUUUUGUAUUUUUAGUAGAGAGGGGGUUUCACCAUCUUGGCCAGGCUGGUCUCGAUCUCCUGACCUCAGGUAAUCCACCUGCCUUGGCCUCCCAAAAUGCUGGGAUUACAGGUGUGAGCCACCACGCCCAGCCUAAAUUAAUGCUUUGAAUUUUGCAUGGAGACACUGAAGGAAGACAAAGUACAAGGACCCAAGUAAUAACCAAUAGAAAGAAGAAAUCCCAUGCCAGGGGCCUGGACAGCCCAAGACGUGUAUAUAAGCUCCACGUUGCCUUCCUGUUUAAGACCUUCUGCUCAGCUCAUACUGAUGGAAAUGGCAUGGGUGGGCAUGGGGGAAGUAUAGCCUCAUGACUCUCCAGCCUUCAGGGUGAUGGGAGAGGACUGGCAACAGGAACCGGUAUGAUUUUUUAAGUGAGUCUUACCUUGCUGGAGCAGAGUUUUAUGGCAACCCCCAAAGACCCCUGUGAAUUGAGGCCCACCUAGGGUCCCAGGAACCCCUUUAUGUGCCCUUUAAAAUAUGCUUUAAUAUCUAAGGUUCUAUCAUUUAAUAUUUAUUUAUUUUUAAAUUUCCCUGAUCCUCCUCCCAUGUCUAUUUUUCCAAAUAAAUCCUUUUUGUUUGUUUGUUAUUUUUGUUUGUUUGUUUUCUUUCUCUUGAGACAGGUUCUUGCCCUGGUACCUGGGUUAGAUCAUGGCUCACUGUAACCUCAACCUCCCAGGCUCAGGUGAUCCUCCCACCUCAGCCUCCUGAGUAGCUGGGACUACAGGUACGUGCUGCCACACUAGGCUAAUUUUUUACUUUUUGCAGAAAUGGGGUUUCACUGUGUGGCCCAAGCUGGUCUUAAAUUCCUGGGCUCAAAUGAUCCAACUGCCUCGGCCUUCCAAAGUGCUGGGAUUACAGGCGUGAGCCACAGCUCCCAGUCCCAAAUCAAUCUUAAUACCAUUUCUGCCAAGUUCAAAACAAAGAUAAUCCUGUUGAUAUUUGGCUGAGACUAUACCAAAUUAAUAGAUUAGUUUAGGGAAAAAUUUUUUACCUUGUUUGGGAGGCAAAAUAUUUACCUCUACUCUCCUA